rnacentral:lncRNA from 1 species
GCAAGGUUAAAUAAUUACUGGCCAUAACCGGUAAUAACAAGACAACGUGUAUCAUUUUCAGACUGCAGACGAGUUGGGACAGUCGUGAAAUAAUAAUGGCGUCACAAAUAAUCAUGUUGCUCUCGAUAUUUUGUCUUCUGAUUCUUAUUGGACCAGGUGUGAAUGCACUGCAAUGUUACUCUUGCGAAGGCUGCAACGAUCCGUUCAAGUCUUCAGGUGUCUCAACAACUGACUGUUCGGAAUCAUGCGAGAAAACUAAAGGAGAGAUGAAUGGUGUUCAAGUAGGCCAAA